CAUGCAAGUCGAACGGUGAAGCCAAGCUUGCUUGGUGGAUCAGUGGCGAACGGGUGAGUAACACGUGAGCAACCUGCCCUGGACUCUGGGAUAAGCGCUGGAAACGGCGUCUAAUACUGGAUAUGAGCUCUUACCGCAUGGUGGGGGUUGGAAAGAUUUUUUGGUCUGGGAUGGGCUCGCGGCCUAUCAGCUUGUUGGUGAGGUAAUGGCUCACCAAGGCGUCGACGGGUAGCCGGCCUGAGAGGGUGACCGGCCACACUGGGACUGAGACACGGCCCAGACUCCUACGGGAGGCAGCAGUGGGGAAUAUUGCACAAUGGGCGAAAGCCUGAUGCAGCAACGCCGCGUGAGGGAUGACGGCCUUCGGGUUGUAAACCUCUUUUAGCAGGGAAGAAGCGAAAGUGACGGUACCUGCAGAAAAAGCGCCGGCUAACUACGUGCCAGCAGCCGCGGUAAUACGUAGGGCGCAAGCGUUAUCCGGAAUUAUUGGGCGUAAAGAGCUCGUAGGCGGUUUGUCGCGUCUGCUGUGAAAUCCCGAGGCUCAACCUCGGGCCUGCAGUGGGUACGGGCAGACUAGAGUGCGGUAGGGGAGAUUGGAAUUCCUGGUGUAGCGGUGGAAUGCGCAGAUAUCAGGAGGAACACCGAUGGCGAAGGCAGAUCUCUGGGCCGUAACUGACGCUGAGGAGCGAAAGGGUGGGGAGCAAACAGGCUUAGAUACCCUGGUAGUCCACCCCGUAAACGUUGGGAACUAGUUGUGG
rnacentral:rRNA from 1 species